GGAACGAACGCUGGCGGCAGGCUUAACACAUGCAAGUCGAGCGCCUCGCAAGAGGAGCGGCAGACGGGUGAGUAACGCGUGGGAAUCUACCCAUCUCUACGGAACAACUCCGGGAAACUGGAGCUAAUACCGUAUACGCCCUUCGGGGGAAAGAUUUAUCGGAGAUGGAUGAGCCCGCGUUGGAUUAGCUAGUUGGUGGGGUAAUGGCCUACCAAGGCGACGAUCCAUAGCUGGUCUGAGAGGAUGAUCAGCCACACUGGGACUGAGACACGGCCCAGACUCCUACGGGAGGCAGCAGUGGGGAAUAUUGGACAAUGGGCGAAAGCCUGAUCCAGCCAUGCCGCGUGAGUGAUGAAGGCCCUAGGUUGUAAAGCUCUUUCACCGGUGAAGAUAAUGACGGUAACCGGAGAAGAAGCCCCGGCUAACUUCGUGCCAGCAGCCGC
rnacentral:rRNA from 1 species